rnacentral:rRNA from 1 species
AACGAACGCUGGCGGCAUGCCUAACACAUGCAAGUCGAACGAGACCUUCGGGUCUAGUGGCGCACGGGUGCGUAACGCGUGGGAACCUGCCCUUAGGUUCGGAAUAACUCCCCGAAAGGGGUGCUAAUACCGGAUAAUGUCUUCGGACCAAAGAUUUAUCGCCUUUGGAUGGGCCCGCGUUGGAUUAGCUAGUUGGUAGGGUAAAAGCCUACCAAGGCGACGAUCCAUAGCUGGUCUGAGAGGAUGAUCAGCCACACUGGGACUGAGGCACGGCCCAGACUCCUACGGGAGGCAGCAGUGGGGAAUAUUGGACAAUGGGCGAAAGCCUGAUCCGGCAAUGCCGCGUGAGUGAUGAAGGCCUUAGGGUUGUAAAGCUCUUUUACCCGGGAUGAUAAUGACAGUACCGGGAGAAUAAGCUCCGGCUAACUCCGUG